ACAAGUGGGAAGAGACAGGAGAGAGGGGACAUAACCAUUUAGGGUCCUGAUGCCAAAUGAAAAGUCAAGGAUUCCAUCUCAGGGGAACUGGGGAGCCCUGCGAGAGCUGUGAGCAGGGAGACGGGAGAGAGUAGGAUGAGCCUCCUCUGGGGCUGGGCUGGGGAAGGAUGGGGCUCCCUUGCCCCACCCAACCAGGCUGCCCUCCACCAGGAAUUAUGGGCCCACCGUGUUAGUGCAACAGGAGGCACUCAAGCGGGGCUGUGAACAGGUCCUCUGGCUGUAUGGGCCCGACCACCAGCUCACCGAGGUGGGAACCAUGAACAUCUUUGUCUACUGGACCCACGAAGAUGGGGUGCUGGAGCUGGUGACGCCCCCGCUGAAUGGUGUUAUCCUGCCUGGAGUGGUCAGACAGAGUCUACUGGACAUGGCUCAGACCUGGGGUGAGUUCCGGGUGGUGGAGCGCACGAUCACCAUGAAGCAGUUGCUGCGGGCCCUGGAGGAGGGCCGCGUGCGGGAAGUCUUUGGCUCGGGCACCGCUUGCCAGGUCUGCCCAGUGCACCGAAUCCUGUACAAAGACAGGGUGAGGCGGGGCUGCCAUUGUGGGUGGGACGGAAGGAGGGGAGGGGCUUGGUCCUCACCGCACCUUCUGUCCCAGAACCUCCACAUUCCCACCAUGGAAAAUGGGCCUGAGCUGAUCCUCCGCUUCCAGAAGGAGCUGAAGGAGAUCCAGGUGAGCUGCAGGGAGCUGGGGAAUGGGCUGGGAGCUUGUUCCCUGGAGAAGUUGGUGUCCCAUGAGCCCCUGGGCUAACAGCCAGCCUCCUUCAGUAGUACCAGGAACAGAUAAUGGCCUUUCUUAUUGAGGCCCUGGAGAGUGGGCUUUCCGUGCUGCUCUGUGGCCUGGAAAACCCCUU
rnacentral:sRNA from 1 species